UGGCAUACACAAUAUGCCAGGCAAGAUAUAAUAAUAAAUGCCGAAAAACUUUAAAAAUCAUUUAUUUCUGGUUCAUUGUUUGGACAUGGAAAAUAAAGUACUUUGCUCUUCUCUUUGGUAAGUCAGAAAACCUAAAACCAGGAAAUGAUACACAAUAUCAAAUGCCACAAGAUUGACAACAAUUAGUGAACUAAUAGUGCGACAAAUACUAGUAAGUAAAUUGUUGGACAAAAGUUAUUUGUAUA
rnacentral:misc_RNA from 1 species